AACAGGUUUUACUAAGGGAGAUCAGAAAAGUCUUUGCAACGGCACACCACACUUGAUUUUUUUCUGGAAAAAUGGAAGUAUGUGGUUGCAAUGAGAGAAAAUGUGUAAGUUUUGCAGGGCUUUGUACAUUGAACCAUCCUCUUUCUUCUUAGUUUUAAAAUGCUUUUAGCCGGUUGUUUUGUCAGCACAGUAAUUGCGUUGUUGGCUUUCUAAUUCACAGGCACCUCCUACCACUAAUUAACCACAUCCAUGUUGCUGUUAUUAGCUAAUUACAAGACUGGACACAUGCCCGGCUAAUUAAGGCUAUUAGGUUUGUAUGUGCGUGUGUCCAGUCUCGUAAUUAG